ACUACACUCUCUGAUCACACUAGGCUUUUUCCAAAUAUGCUUUUUCCUUCCCUUGAGCUGGGACAUGGAUGUCACAGUAAUCCCAUUUUGACAAUACAUACAUGAACAACAGACCCUGUUUGCAUAGCCACCACUCCUCCACAUAAACCCAAGUUAGAGUCACAGUGAACCAGAACUCCAAACUCCUUAUGUUCUUCUUGUUUCCAUGUCUUGAUACCUGUGUUGGUAUCUGCAAUGACCCAUGCCCCUUUCUCACUAUUUCCCUUGCCCCUUCCAGUCUAUGUGACCAACUCUGAUUCACCUUCUAGAUUCAUCCCUGACUACUCUAUCGCUAUCCCCCCAGCCACAUGUGACUCAG
rnacentral:lncRNA from 1 species